CAUGUCAAAUCCUUCCUCUGUCAUUUGCUUAUCUAUUUUGUCAUCAGGACUUCGCGAAGAUGAACCAUAAAACCCCUGGUCAUUGUGUUGCCUGCUCUCAGCAGCAUGCUCAGGUCCAUAGUGAUUGUAACUCUGCCAAGCUUUGGAAACUGGUGGCCCAUGAGCUUGAGUAUGCUCACCUACCUUCCUCUUAAAAAUAGGUACAUAUGAGGUUGCAUAUGGGUUUAA
rnacentral:lncRNA from 1 species